rnacentral:rRNA from 1 species
AACACAUGCAAGUCGAACGGCAGCACGGUAGAGACUUCGGUUUUUAUGGGUGGCGAGUGGCGGACGGGUGAGUAACACGUGGGCAAUCUGCCCCUCACUUCGGGAUAACUCAGGGAAACCUGAGCUAAUACCGGAUACUCCUUGCGGAUCGCAUGGUCUGCUCGGGAAAGUUCCGGCGGUGAGGGAUGAGCCCGCGGCCCAUUAGCUUGUUGGUGAGGUAACGGCUCACUAAGGCGGCGGCGGGUAGCCGGCCUGGGAGGGUGGCCGGCCAACCUGGGACUGGGACACGGCCCAGACCCCUAAGGGAGGCAGCAGUGGGGAAUAUUGGGCAAUGGGCGCAAGCCUGACCCAGCCAUGCCGCGCGAGUGAUGAAGGCCUUAGGGUUGUAAAGCUCUUUCGCCGAGGACGAUAAUGACGGUACUCGGAUAAGAAGCCCCGGCUAACUUCGUGCCAGCAGCCGCCGUAA